CUCGUCCAUGCCGUCCAUGGCGUCGUCGUCGUGUCGUGUGUUAUGAUGUGUUCGUUGUUUCUUGGAUCUUGUCGCGUGCAGGUGCAACUGCUGGUGGGAGUACAACACUUCGCUGUAAAAGGCAUUCACAACAGAACUUGGAAAAGGAGUUGUUAUACUAAUGGCACUGUGCAGAAAGGUAAUGGCACUGAAGAUGACAUAAUUGGACAUUUUUGGGUUUGUUUUCUCUUUCUACAUGCAUAUCAUUCUGGACAAUAAAGUAUCACAUUCUUUUAAAGAGUUGAA